CCGAACCGACUAAUGUUGAAAAAUUAGCGGAUGACCUGUGGCUGGGGGUGAAAGGCCAAUCAAACCGGGAGAUAGCUGGUUCUCCCCGAAAGCUAUUUAGGUAGCGCCUCGUGAAUUCAUCUCCGGGGGUAGAGCACUGUUUCGGCUAGGGGGCCAUCCCGGCUUACCAACCCGAUGCAAACUGCGAAUACCGGAGAAUGUUAUCACGGGAGACACACGGCGGGUGCUAACGUCCGUCGUGAAGAGGGAAACAACCCAGACCGCCAGCUAAGGUCCCAAAGUCAUGGUUAAGUGGGAAACGAUGUGGGAAGGCCCAGACAGCCAGGAUGUUGGCUUAGAAGCAGCCAUCAUUUAAAGAAAGCGUAAUAGCUCACUGGUCGAGUCGGCCUGCGCGGAAGAUGUAACGGGGCUAAACCAUGCACCGAAGCUGCGGCAGCGACACUGUGUGUUGUU
rnacentral:rRNA from 2 species